AUAACCGUGGUAAUUCUACAGCUAAUACAUGAGCAAAAUCUCAACUUUAUUAGAAGAGAAGCAUUUAUUAGAUAAAAAGCCAAUGCAUGCUUUUACAGUAUGAAAAUUGGUGAUUUAUAAUAACUUAGCAAAUCGUAAAGUGAAAACAGACGAUAAAUCAUUCAAGUUUCUGACCUAUCAGCUUUCGACGGUAUGGUAUUGGCUUACCGUGGCAGUGACGGUUAACGGGGGAUUAGGGUUCGAUUCCGGAGAGGGAGCCUGAGAAACGGCUACCACAUCUAAGGAAGGCAGCAGGCGCGCAAAUUACCCAAUUCUAACAGUUUGAGAGAGGUAGUAACAAGAAAUAACAAUACAAGGCAGUUAAAAUGCUUUGUAAUUGGAAUGAUAGAAAUUUAAACCCUUUUUAAAGUAUCAAUUGGAGGGCAAGUCUGGUGCCAGCAGCCGCGGUAAUUCCAGCUCCAAUAGCGUAUAUUAAAAUUGUUGCAGUUAAAAAGCUCGUAGUUGAAGUUCUGCUAAAAGUAACCGGUCUGCUUUUAAUAAAAGUGGUAUCUUGGUAUGUAUUUAGCAAUGAUGUCCUUUGAAGUGUUUUUUACUUUAUUGUAAUAAAGCAUAUUCAGGACUUUUACUUUGAGAAAAUUAGAGUGUUUCUAGCAGGCCGACGCUUUGAAUACUGCAGCAUGGAAUAAUAAGAUAGGAUUUUAGUUCUACAUUGUUGGUUUUAAGAGCUAAAUUAAUGAUUGAUAGGGACAGUUGGGGGCAUUUGUAUUUAACUGUCAGAGGUGAAAUUCUUAGAUUUGUUAAAGACAAACUACUGCGAAAGCAUUUGCCAAAGAUGUUUUCAUUAAUCAAGAACGAAAGUUAGGGGAUCGAAGACGAUCAGAUAC
rnacentral:rRNA from 1 species